AGUGAACGCUGGCGGUAGGCCUAACACAUGCAAGUCGAACGGCAGCACAGUAAGAGCUUGCUCUUACGGGUGGCGAGUGGCGGACGGGUGAGGAAUACAUCGGAAUCUACUUUUUCGUGGGGGAUAACGUAGGGAAACUUACGCUAAUACCGCAUACGACCUACGGGUGAAAGCAGGGGAUCUUCGGACCUUGCGCGAUUGAAUGAGCCGAUGUCGGAUUAGCUAGUUGGCGGGGUAAAGGCCCACCAAGGCGACGAUCCGUAGCUGGUCUGAGAGGAUGAUCAGCCACACUGGAACUGAGACACGGUCCAGACUCCUACGGGAGGCAGCAGUGGGGAAUAUUGGACAAUGGGCGCAAGCCUGAUCCAGCUAUACCGCGUGGGAGAAGAAGGCCUUCGGGUUGUAAAGCCCUUUUGUUGGGAAAGAAAAGCAGCAGGUUAAUACCCCGCUGUUCUGACGGUACCCAAAGAAUAAGCACCGGCUAACUUCGUG
rnacentral:rRNA from 1 species